rnacentral:rRNA from 1 species
AGUGAACGCUGGCGGUAGGCCUAACACAUGCAAGUCGAACGGCAGCACAGUAAGAGCUUGCUCUUACGGGUGGCGAGUGGCGGACGGGUGAGGAAUACAUCGGAAUCUACUUUUUCGUGGGGGAUAACGUAGGGAAACUUACGCUAAUACCGCAUACGACCUACGGGUGAAAGCAGUGGAUCUUCGGACCUUGCGCGUUUGAAUGAGCCGAUGUCGGAUUAGCUAGUUGGCGGGGUAAAGGCCCACCAAGGCGACGAUCCGUAGCUGGUCUGAGAGGAUGAUCAGCCACACUGGAACUGAGACACGGUCCAGACUCCUACGGGAGGCAGCAGUGGGGAAUUUUGGACAAUGGGCGAAAGCCUGAUCCAGCCAUACCGCGUGGGUGAAGAAGGCCUUCGGGUUGUAAAGCCCUUUUGUUCGGAAAGAAAAGCAGCAGGUUAAUACCCCGCUGUUCUGACGGUACCCAAAGAAUAAGCACCGGCUAACUUCGUG